AGAAAACCACCCAAGUCCCGUUUGAAAUUGGAGAUGGAGGUGGACAGAUUUAGCAACUUACCAAGUGAUGUUAUAGAAAUUUUUUUGUCAUGUUUGCCCAUUAGAGAGGCAGUGAGGACAAGUGUUUUAUCAACCAAGUGGAGAUACAGAUCGGCUAUGCUUCCUCAUCUUGUGUUUGAUGAUCAGUGUGUCUCAAUACGAGAGAAUAUAACCUUUGUGAACAUUGUUGAUCAUGUACUCCUAGGUCACAUUGGCCCCAUUCACAAGUUUGAGCUUUCUGGUGGAGAUUGUCUAGACAAUUGGGAUAUUGAUCGAUGGAUUCUUCAUCUGUCAAGAAACUCUAUCAAAGAAUUCAUAUUUAAAAAUUGGGGAACUUGCCCCUACAGAAUUCCUUCAUAUUUGUUUUCUUGUCAAGAUAUGAUUCAUUUAGAGUUACUUAUAUGUGUGCUAAAACCUCCAUCAACAUUCAAAGGCUUCAGGAAUUUGAAAAACCGUCUUCUUAAGGGUGUUACCCUGGACCAAGAUGUGCUCCAAAAUCUAAUUGCUUGCUGUCCUCUGCUUGAAAAGUUGACUUUGUCAAUUCCCACUUUCACCCAUCUCAAGAUUGAUGCACCAAAUCUCCAAUUCCUUGACGUUGAAGGUGAUUUUGAGGAUGUUACUUUUGAGAAUACCUUAAAUCUGGUUGAUGUUCGCAUUUGUAUCUACCCUCACGGAAGAACAUGGGUUUGUGAAAAUAGCAAUUUGGUCAAGUUUUUGGUUCAGCUGCCUCUUGUCCAGAGGCUAAAGAUUGGGAGAUAUUUUUUGCAGAUUUUGGUUGUUGGCUCCUUGUCACCAAUGCUUCCUAAACCAUGCCUAUAUUUGAAAUUUCUUUCCGUAAUGGUAAACUUUAAUGAUCCGGCGGAGGUUUUAACUGUCCUAUGCCUCCUGAGAAGCUCCCCUGCUGUCCAAGAACUAUAAAUUUCUGCCCACCAAGAGGUUCAGGCUGCUUUGUCAGAAGUGAACUCUUUAUAUGGCAACUGUAUUUUCCCAUUCACCCAACUGCGACUUGUCAAAAUAUCCUACAUCUUUGAUCUCAAAACUGAAUUAGAUUUCAUCAGAUUUCUGCUUUUAAAUUCUCCUGUGCUCGAGAAGAUGAUUGUUACACCUGAUGAUGCCAGUGAUUCUCUGGAGCUCAUUAAACAGUUUCUCCGGUUAGGGCGUGCCUCAGUGCAUUCAGAGAUAAUCUUCUUGGACCCAGAUUCAUGAGGGAACUUUAGCAGCUAAGACAGGAGGACUUGCUUGAAGAAAUGAAUGUGGUUUUGGACUGUUGGGAACAAGUCUUUUUGUUAUAUGCCUGCCUCUUUUCUUAACUGGUUGUCUCAUACUUGCAAUUCUCUUUGUGGAGGCAUAUGGUGUUUAAAGUUAAUUCGCUUGGGGAUUAGGAAUUAGAUAUAUCUGAGUUCAUUUGACAAUUUACAUCCUUAUUGAAACAAAGUUUGCAGGGCAGAACAAUGUCUC